rnacentral:rRNA from 1 species
GAUUAGAUACCCUGGUAGUCCACGCCGUAAACGAUGAGUACUAAGUGUCGGGUUAAACCGGUACUGAAGUUAACACAUUAAGUACUCCGCCUGGGUAGUACGUACGCAAGUAUGAAACUUAAAGGAAUUGACGGGACUCCGCACAAGCGGUGGAUCAUGUUGUUUAAUUCGAAGAUACCCGAAAAACCUUACCAGGUCUUGACAUGUUUUUGCGAAACGGUAGUAAUAUCGUAGAGGUUAUCAGAAACACAGGUGGUGCAUGGUUGUCGUCAGCUCGUGUCGUGAGAUGUUAGGUUAAGUCCUAAAACGAGCGAAACCCUUAUCGUUAGUUGCCAGCACGUUAUGGUGGGGACUUUAACGAGACUGCCAGUGAUAAACUGGAGGAAGGUGAGGAUCACGUCAAAUCAGCAUGCCCCUUAUGACCUG